GAAAACAUGAAUCUCAGGGUCACAGCUUUAUUGUAUAGGUUUUCAACACAGCCAUAUUACAAACAUUGUCAGGGAACAUUUACAAGAAUAAAUAAGAUGGACUUGCAGGUGUAAAAAGAUUACACUUCACUGUAAUGUACAGUCAAAAAAUAUAUCUGAUAUUCAUUGACCUGACAUUAUUUACCUCCGGCUUUUUUUAAACUAGAAUUGGAAAGGAAAAAAAAAAUGAACAUUGACAGCACAGUGCUGGCUUUUUUAAAAAGUUGAUUUAUUUUGUUUUCUCUUCUCAUACGUGCUUUAUCUAUCAAACACCCAAACUGUACAAGUGCAGGCCAUUGGGAUUCACAGAGGAGGCUGCAAACAGUGUGGAGACUUGGCAUUCAUGCAGUAUCAUAUGCCCCAUGGAUGUGAACAUGUCAGUCUCCUUGCAGUUGAUGGGACCCCCGCGAUGGCCCUUCUAGGGCUGUGAUGGUGUUCAGUAGCCAAGGCAAUGGUAGAAGCCCUGACUCUGCCUUUCAUUAGCUGGUAAGAUGUAGGGUGGAAUGAAAAGGAAGAAAAGUGCUUUCAAGUUUGAUUGCCAAUAAUGGGUUAGACUGGAUUAGCCUGGGCUAUUUCAGGAUCUACCUGGCAAUGAAAUGGAUGCACUGGGGGGCGCUUAUAAUCACGUGUCCACUGAGUCGCUGUGCUUUUGUGUUUUCAAUCUGCUCUAACAGGCCUCGAUUGGGGAGGAGGAGGAGUUAGAAUUCACCUCUGGAAUUAAUGUGUAUGGCAAGCAAAACCCGUGUUCUGGGUCCUGCUUGGCCUUUACUGAUUCCUGAUUCCUGGCUGUCACCAAGGGCCCUCCUGGCCAGUAGGCUAAAUUAUGACCGGUCUCAUCAGAGGUCUUGGGGGGGCAUGGGCUCUAUGGCAAAGAAGCUACUCUCUCUGGGCUAUAUGGUGAUGACCAGCUUGGGUGAGCCCUAGAGGUAUGACUAGAGGCAGCAUCUUGGCCUGCGUCAUGGGGAGACAGUGGGAGAGCGGGGGCUUCAACCUGCACCAACCAAUUACAAGCUGCUUGGCUUUGUGCUCUGCAGAAAGGGAGGAAGCAGUUCAGACAUGGUCCUAGCUCCAUAACAUCUCACCCAGCUAAGGCAUAAGAAACUUAAAGGCCAUUUCAGCCAAGCUCCUUCUUCCCUUCCCAAAGAGAUGUCUGGCUUCUGCUGGACAGCUGCUGAGAUGGGCAGCUCAUCUUCUCUGGCAGAGAGCAAAUUCUCCUUCCAGUUCUAGAGUUUCACCUAGUGCUCCCAUCUCCACUCACAGGAGGGACCUGGGCUGUGCUUUAGUUUAUCUAAAGAUCUGAAAACGUAGGGAAGAUAUGGCCACUCUAUUCUUCCUGACCUGGGAUGUUACCCCUUUGCCCUCAGAGUCUCCAGACUACCCUGAAACACCUUAUAUCAUCAGUCUUCCACAGGAGUGAGAGGGGCGUGGUGGGCACUGAGAGUUUGUUGGACCCUCACAUAGGGAGGCCCACUGAUGUGUAUUCACAAGCCCACAGGCACUAAAGUACAUGUGCAAGGACUCAAUUUUUCAGUGUUGGCACUUUGCAUCGUAUUCCCUUUCCUCCCCCAAAUUUCAGAGUCCCACUCACCACAGAACCAUGAAUUACACUAACUACCCUGAGCUCCGGGCUUACAUACCAAUACCUUCCUGUCCAAACAGUGGAAGACCCUCAGACCUUCAUUCACUGAAUAUUUCAACCAAGGAUCAGGAUCCAGAUCACACCACCCAGAGCAGCUCUCAGAUCCAGAUGAAAGUUCCAUGGUAAUCCAGCCCCGAGAACUUGACCCUGUGGUGCACCCACCCUGAGUCCUUUUACUCUGUGCAUCAGCUGCACUGACUACCCCGACUUCUUAGACAACUAGGAUGCCAAGCCUGGGGUAUACCAUUAUGGGUGUUGACCUUGCCUCUUGGGAACCUAACAUUCAUUCAUGGGUAGAUGUGAGGGGGUGAAGAUGGCCCCUUGGAUUCCCACCUCUUCUGGAGGUAGGUGAGAAGGCUGCAAGAGUGGUGUUAGUCUCUACUACAGUGUGUAUUUCCAGCCAGCAUCAUGCGAAAGUGUAUGUCUGGGUACCAGUAAACCAGAAGAGAGUCUGCUCAUGUGUGCAAAUAUGGCUUAGACAUCUCUCUGUGCUUCUGAGGAUUAUACCCAUGACUUGGAGAAACUGGAGCCCCCUCUGUUCUCUGCCACUGCCUUCUCUCCUUGCUGUUCAGACAGUAUAUAACCUCAGAGGCAGAUCCCUGUUAGAGGAAGCCAAGACCUCGCGUUUUAUCACUUCUAGGUAUGUGGACAUGGAAAACCUCCAACAUGGAGCCCUGGCAUGGGAAUACAGCAAUAAGGCUGAGUCUCAGCUGAUUCCCUCUAGUUGGAUUCACAUUGGCUGAGACGCUCAAGACUAGAUGAUGAGGAAGGCAGGCAAGUCAGGGCUUUGAGAUGAAACAGUCAUCCCUGUGACUCCGUCUCAUCUUCUUCCCUGCGUCUUAGGUUGACCAUCUGUCCCCAGGGAUCUUGGCGCCCAGCACAAUUUGUUGGCCCUAAGGUUUAGAAUUAGCAUCAAGUUCCUCCUACCCUCAGGCUCACCCACGUUUUCCAUGGCAUUAUUCCCAACUCAGCUUGGUGCUGAUGGCCUGUCUAUCCAGCCUAGAGAGGUUGGAUGCAGGCUAAGGGAGGGUGGCUUUCUUCCCUCUGUUCUAAGGCUGAGAGGUACAGGGGAAUCACCAUCUCUUUUGAUGUCUCUGGAUCUGGGUUGGGCUGUUAUUUCUGCAAAGAUGACAUGAUAAGUGCCUGUUUGCUCCUCCCUGGUGGCAUCCUGUUAGACUGACACCCCUGUGCACACAGCAGGGACUCACAUAAGAAUGAGGAAAUGUGGCUUAGGGUGAGGACACAUGCCAGGAGCUAGCUUACCACUUGGAACAAAUGGUGAAUAAACACCAGUGGUCAGAGGGAAAUGGAAGAUGAUCAUCUUUUAUCUAAGACACUGAGACUGGUUCUAAAGCAACCUCCUUGCUCCACAUGGUUCUGGCCAGUCCCUCCCCAUCCCCUGUCCUUCUGUGUCAAGAAGUGACCACUUUUCCAGGAGACCAUAUGCCUCCUUGGUUCUGACUAUUCCUGUUGGGUCCUAACUUCUUGGCUUUGUCUUCCUGCUUUCUACCCAAGGCUCUCCAAAUUCAAGUGUCCCUUCUACCCGGCUGUGGCUCCUCUUUUCACAUCUUUGUCUAUUAAUUGGUUGGCCCAACUUCCUCUAGCCAAGAAAGGGCUGGACCAGAUUAGAACCAAAGACUGAGUUCUUUCCACUGCAAUCCCGUGUCUUGCCACAGGAUGCACUGUGUGCCAUGGUAACCUGUCAUCUGGGUGCGAUGCCCUCUGGGGCCCCUGUAUGCUAUAGGAAGUAAAGUGAGAAGGCUUCUUAGUCUGCAACCCCUCAUAUCAAGUGUGUCCUCAGAUUUGUCCAUAUUAGCAACCACGUGGCUCUGCCUGAGCAAAGGGCACCACCUC
rnacentral:lncRNA from 1 species